AACAAAGUAAGCUAAUUUUAAGCUAUUGGGUUCAUACCCCAAAUAUGAUUUAAAUAAUCCUUUGUUA